GACGAACGCUGGCGGCGUGCCUAAUACAUGCAAGUCGAGCGGACGGAUGGGAGCUUGCUCCCAGACCGUCAGCGGCGGACGGGUGAGUAACACGUGGGCAACCUGCCUGUAAGACUGGGAUAACUCCGGGAAACCGGGGCUAAUACCGGAUAACUCUUUCCCUCACAUGAGGGAAAGCUGAAAGAUGGCAUCUCGCUAUCACUUACAGAUGGGCCCGCGGCGCAUUAGCUAGUUGGUGAGGUAACGGCUCACCAAGGCGACGAUGCGUAGCCGACCUGAGAGGGUGAUCGGCCACACUGGGACUGAGACACGGCCCAGACUCCUACGGGAGGCAGCAGUAGGGAAUCUUCCGCAAUGGACGAAAGUCUGACGGAGCAGCGCCGCGUGAGUGAUGAAGGUUUUCGGAUCGUAAAACUCUGUUGUCAGGGAAGAACAAGUACCGGAGUAACUGCCGGUACCUUGACGGUACCUGACCAGAAAGCCACGGCUAACUACGUG
rnacentral:rRNA from 1 species